rnacentral:piRNA from 1 species
UCCGCCGAGAUGGCUUGAGCUAUGCGGG